UGACCUGAAAACCAGCUUUCAUUUGGACACGCCUACUUUGGUCACUUCCUGAUCAGACGUGACAUCACUUCCUGUGAAUCCAGACACCUUCAUCAGGGGUUCUACUCAGAUAUCAGUCAGAGACGCGUCACUCGGACAGAAAAGACUCUCUGUCCAUUUUUCUAGCUUUGGUGGCCUUCUAAGAUGGUCUGAUGGAGCUGCUGUGACCCAGGGUCACCACUGAUCUGGAAACUUCUUCUUCACACAUUUCCAGCAUCACAUCCUGUGGAGGCAGAGACGCUGAUAAGGGAACCGACCCAAUGGGCCUAAAAACCUCCAACAGCCUGAAUCUACCUGCAGAAACAUUGAACCUGUUUCAUAGUUGAGCUCAGUGAGGUUUCUGUGUUUCUACAGAUCCACCAGGAGGUCAGGUAGCAGUUCACCUUGGAUCAGAACCAGAAGAAACCACAGUCCUGCUGGAGACCCGACCCAGAGGAGGAGGACGGUACCUUGUUGUGGACUGUGGAGAAUCAUCUAAAUUCAGUGUUUAUGAAGUUCUGGAAGGAGGAGCUCUGAAGAAGCUGUAUGAUGAUGAUGGAUAUUAUUGGGGGGGACGAGAUGUGGACGAUAAAUUCAAAAAGUUCAUCAGUAAAAUAUUCUCUGAUAAAUUGUGGAAAGAAUAUGAAGCAAACUUCCCCAAUGAGGUUCAGGAAAUGAUGGAUGAUUUUCUCCGUGUCAAACAUGUGGAUGAAGAUGUUCAGAUCUGCUGCCCAGAGAACCUGAGAGAACAGGCUGAGAAAGAGAAAAACAUUGAAAGGUUCUUUGAUUCAGAGGGAGGAGCUUCCUGGGAUGAUGGACGCAUCAGGAUCUCCAGAGACACACUGAGGUCUUUCUAUGAUCGGAGUCUGAAGACCAUCACCAAUAAGAUCAGGGAAAUAUUAGCCAAAUAUUCCAACAUUGGUUGUAUUGUGUUAGUGGGGGGCUUAGCUGAGAGCCAGAUUCUACGUCAGAACAUCUCUGAUCAGUUUGGAUCUAACUAUAAAGUUCUGUGUCCUCUUAGACCCCAGGAAGCCGUCCUGAAAGGAGCUGUAGAGCUGGGAAGAAACCCAAAGUUGGUUCUUCCUCAGAGAAAAGGUCCAGCCUGCUUCAGAUGUUUUUCAUGACGUCUUUUUCUCUUUCUGGGAUCAGUCUGUCAGGAAGGAGCUGAGAAUAACGAUUCUUUCUGUUAUUGUUGCAGCAAAUAAGCAUCAACUAAAGAUGAGAGGUAGAUCUAGGAAUUAAAACCUUUAUUUUGGUUACAAACAUGCAAGAAUCAAAACAUUUGCACGUUUCCAAAAGU